rnacentral:rRNA from 1 species
CCUACGGGAGGCAGCAGUGAGGAAUAUUGGUCAAUGGACGAGAGUCUGAACCAGCCAAGCAGCGUGAAGGAUGACUGCUCUAUGGGUUGUAAACUUCUUUUAUAUGGGAAUAAAACGUUCCACGUGUGGGAUUUUGUAUGUACCAUAUUAAUUAGGAUCGGCUAACUCCGUGCCAGCAGCCGUGGUAAUACGGAGGAUCCGAGCGUUAUCCGGAUUUAUUGGGUUGCAAGGGAGCGUAGGUGGGUUGUUAAGUCAGUUGUGAAAGUUUGCGGCUCAACCGUAAAAUUGCAGUUGAAACUGGCAGUCUUGAGUACAGGAGAGGUAGGCGGAAUUCGUGGUGUAGCAGUGAAAUGCUUAGAUAUCGCGAAGAACUCC